GUUCGGCGCAGCGGUGGCGGCAGUUCUGGGCUCGCAGCGCGCUUGGCUCCGGCGUGAGGGCCCCGCGGCGGAACAGGUGCCAGGCUCACUGCCCCAGGGAAUAAAUGAGUGAUCCAGAGGACACGGCAUCUCGAAACCAGUCUCCACGGCACGUCCUGACUCCGGAAACAAAGGAACAACUUAAUGAUGAAAUCAAAUCAAGCAGAAGUUUUUUUGCAUGCGAUUCAAGAAUGCUCUUUAUCCAGUCUGCACUGAAAUUGCAUUACCUGUAGUUAAGGAGGAAGUGUACUCAGUUGAGCUUGGAAGCAAUGUUACCAGAAAAGGAUUAACAAAUCAUAAGACAAAAUCCUUGGAAGUAAGGUCACUAGCAGACUGUGGCUAGGGCGCAAGCCAAGGAAUGGGUUUCACAUGUGCUGCCCCAUUAGUUCCUGGAAUCUUAAUACAUAACCUGCAUCAGCGAAUUGUGCCCAAAGGAGGGAAAGAACGAGAGCAUCACGUCUCUGCUGUGUUAGACAACAUGGCACUACUUGUUUUCAAAAAUUAGUUUUUAUUUUAUGAAAGCAAUGUAUGCACACGUAGGUUAAAAAUGUGUAUUAGACUUGCCUUUGAUUUAUCAAUAUUAGACGUUCUCUUUUAAUCACCUACUCUGGUCUUUGAGGAUUUGGUUCUCCUAUACCUUGCCUUCUGCUUCCCCCUCCAGUUUUCCCGCUAGAGUCAUAUUACAGCCUUUGUUCAGUUGACUGCUCCAUGUUUAUAUUAUUGUGCCUGUAUAAAUAUUGUUCAGACUGAGCAUUAUAGUGUACAGAUCACUAUAUUUGCUUUCUUUUUUCUUUUCCUGAAGUUAAUAAUGACCCUCUUCCCCUCUUUCAACUGGUCCUCUUUCGAGUUCUUUCUUACACCUUCCAAUAGCUUCUCGGUACACUUUUCUACAAGUUCAGUCAAACCAAUAUAUAUGUGCUGCAUUUUAGUUUUCCCCCAAGUAUUACUCCCAGACACUUCCUUCUCCUUCCUUAUGGACUGCUCUCUCUCUCUCUCUCUCUGGCCUGCUGCAUAGCUUCUUCCUGGGAAUGCCUUGAGUCGGAUUCUGCAUUUCCUAGA